rnacentral:rRNA from 1 species
GUAGGGAAUCUUCCACAAUGGGCGCAAGCCUGAUGGAGCAACACCGCGUGAGUGAAGAAGGGUUUCGGCUCGUAAAGCUCUGUUGUUAAAGAAGAACACGUAUGAGAGUAACUGUUCAUACGUUGACGGUAUUUAACCAGAAAGUCACGGCUAACUACGUGCCAGCAGCCGCGGUAAUACGUAGGUGGCAAGCGUUAUCCGGAUUUAUUGGGCGUAAAGAGAGUGCAGGCGGUUUUCUAAGUUUGAUGUGAAAGCAUUCGGCUUAACCGGAGAAGUGCAUCGGAAACUGGAUAACUUGAGUGCAGAAGAGGGUAGUGGAACUCCAUGUGUAGCGGUGGAAUGCGUAGAUAUAUGGAAGAACACCAGUGGCGAAGGCGGCUACCUGGUCUGCAACUGACGCUGAGACUCGAAAGCAUGGGUAGCGAACAGGAUUAGAUACCCGGGUAGUCC